rnacentral:rRNA from 1 species
AGAGUUUGAUCCUGGCUCAGGAUGAACGCUAGCGGCAGGCUUAACACAUGCAAGUCGAGGGGCAGCAUGUCCAGCAAUGGAUGAUGGCGACCGGCGGAAGGGUGCGUAACGCGUGAGCAACAUGCCCUAUACAGGGAGAUACACCAGGGAAACUUGGUCUAAUAUCCCAUAGCAUUCAUUGAAGGCAUCUUUAAUGAAUUAAAGCUUCGGUGGUAUAGGAUUGGCUCGCGUGACAUUAGCCAGAUGGUGAGGUAACGGCUCACCAUAGCAAUGAUGUCUAGGGGUUUUGAGAGGAAGGCCCCCCACACUGGGACUGAGACACGGCCCAGACUCCUACGGGAGGCAGCAGUGAGGAAUAUUGGACAAUGGAUGGAAAUCUGAUCCAGCCAUGCCGCGUGCAGGAAGACGGCCUUAUGGGUUGUAAACUGCUUUUAUACGGGAGCAAUAAGGGUUACGAGUAAUCCGAUGAGAGUACUGUAUGAAUAAGCAUCGGCUAACUCCGUGCCAGCAGCCGCGGUAAUACGGAGGAUGCAAGCGUUAUCCGGAUUUAUUGGGUUUAAAGGGUGCGCAGGCGGGUUUGUAAGUCAGUGGUGAAAAACUGCCGCUUAACGGUAGUCUUGCCAUUGAUACUGCAAAUCUUGAGUUUGGUUGAGGUAGGCGGAAUGUGCAGUGUAGCGGUGAAAUGCAUAGAUAUUGCACGGAACACCAAUUGCGAAGGCAGCUUACUAAACCAUUACUGACGCUCAUGCACGAAAGCGUGGGGAGCAAACAGGAUUAGACACCCUGGUAGUCCACGCAGUAAACUAUGUUCACUCGCUGUUUGCGAUAUACAGUAAGCGGCUUAGCGAAAGCAUUAAGUGAACCACCUGGGGAGUACGAUCGCAAGGUUGAAACUCAAAGGAAUUGACGGGGGCCCGCACAAGCAGUGGAUUAUGUGGUUUAAUUCGAAGCAACGCGAAGAACCUUACCAGGGCUUGACAUCCAACUAACGAAGCAGAGAUACAUUAGUCCUUCGGGACACCUGUGCAGGUGGUGCAUGGUUGUCGUCAGCUCGUGUCGUGAGAUGUUGGGUUAAGUCCCGCAACGAGCGCAACCCCUGUUGCUAGUUGCCAUCAUUAAGUUGGGCACUCUAGCGAGACUGCCGGUGACAAAUCGGAGGAAGGUGGGGACGACGUCAAAUCAUCAUGCCCCUUAUGUCCUGGGCUACACACGUACUACAAUGGCUAUAACAGCAGGGAGCUAAGGAGUAAUCCGGAGCGAAUCCUCAAAAAUAGUCCCAGUUCGAAUUGUGGGCUGAAACCCGCCCACAUGAAGUCGGAAUUGCUAGUAAUGGCAGGUCAGCAUACUGCCGUGAAUACGUUCCCGGGUCUUGUACUCACCGCCCGUCAAG